rnacentral:rRNA from 1 species
GGGGGUUGGCUUGGAGCGGCCAGGCGCACCCAGAAACCCUUUGUGAACUUAUACCUUACUGUUGCCUCGGCGCAUGCUGGCCCCCUCGGGGCCCCCUGGAGACAGGGAGCAGGCACGCCGGCGGCCAAGUUAACUCUUGUUUUUACACUGAAACUCUGAGAAAAAACACAAAUGAAUCAAAACUUUCAACAACGGAUCUCUUGGUUCUGGCAUCGAUGAAGAACGCAGCGAAAUGCGAUAAGUAAUGUGAAUUGCAGAAUUCAGUGAAUCAUCGAAUCUUUGAACGCACAUUGCGCCCUCUGGUAUUCCGGAGGGCAUGCCUGUUCGAGCGUCAUUUCAACCCUCAAGCAUUGCUUGGUGUUGGGGCACUGCUUUUAACGAAGCAGGCCCUGAAAUCUAGUGGCGAGCUCGCCAGGACCCCGAGCGCAGUAGUUAAACCCUCGCUUUGGAAGGCCCUGGCGGUGCCCUGCCGUUAAACCCCCAACUUCUGAAAAUUUGACCUCGGAUCAGGUAGGAAUACCCGCUGAACUUAAGCAUAUCAAUAAGCGGAGGAA